GAUUAUUUGUAAUCAUGUGUCCUCAGUUAUUUAUGUAAAUUGGAUCCCUCCAUCCAAGUAAUUUUCACUAAACCAGUUCAUUGGCUUAAUUAGUUGAUAUUUCCAAAUAAAAUGUAAUUGAGUUGUCACUCAAUCAGUGAAUCUGGCAACCUUUUCUGCAUUCGGAGCAUGACCUCAAAGCCCCGCCCCGCAUUUCAGCGGUCUUUCACGACCAGACACGAACUACACGUGCGUGUUCCAUAUCUCGACUUGGUUGGCAGAGUUUGACUGAGACGGAAUGUGAAUAUGGAACCAUAAAGACUUGAACAGGAAGUCACAACAGUCUUCAAGAACACGAGGAGCAUCAGCCUUUGUAUGCACAAUAGUAACUACUUAGGACCACAAAAGCAAGACACCUGGCCAUACAGACGGCACUUUCAUUCAGGAAGACCGACCACUGAUAACUCCGUUCUCUGCGAGAGUCCAGCGAUGCGGCUCUUCAUCCCGUUCAGACAUUAAU